GACUCUCGGCAACGGAUAUCUCGGCUCACGCAUCGAUGAAGAACGUAGCAAAAUGCGAUACUUGGUGUGAAUUGCAGAAUCCCGUGAACCAUCGAGUUUUUGAACGCAAGUUGCGCCCGAAGCCUUUUGGUCGAGGGCACGUCUGCCUGGGCGUCACAC
rnacentral:rRNA from 3 species